GAUGAAGAACGUAGCGAAAUGCGAUACUUGGUGUGAAUUGCAGAAUCCCGUGAACCAUCGAGUCUUGAACGCAAGUUGCGCCCGAAGCCAUUAGGCCGAGGGCACGCCUGCCUGGGCGUCACACGUCGUUGCCCCCCCAUCUACUCCUUCGGGAUUGCGGGGGGCGGAUGAUGGCCUCCCGUGCGCCUCGUCGCGCGGUUGGCAUAAAUGCCAAGUCCUCGGCGACGCACGCCACGACAAUCGGUGGUUGCGAAACCUCGGUUGCCCGUCGUGUGCGGUCGUCGCGCAUCGAGGGCUCGAAAAAAUUGCCGGGCUCCGGCUCGGCUUUCAACGCGACCCCAGGUCAGGCGGGGUUACCCGCUGAAUUUAAGCAUAUCAAUAAGCGGAGGA
rnacentral:misc_RNA from 1 species